UCGUGGAGUGAUUUGUCUGCUCUACUGCGGUAACGGGCGAGAUUCUUAGGGGUUGUUGGUGACGCUGGAGCUACGGUUGAAGGGCAACCUGCAACUGUAGGUCUGAUGCGGCCGUUAUCCCUAACUGCUACUGGAAGGUUAGACGAGAAGGGGCAAUAGCA
rnacentral:rRNA from 1 species